rnacentral:misc_RNA from 1 species
CCGUCAAUUCAUUUAAGUUUCAACCUUGCGGUCGUACUCCCCAGGCGGAGUGCUUAAUGCGUUAGCUACGGCACUAAACCCCGGAAAGGGUCUAACACCUAGCACUCAUCGUUUACAGCGUGGACUACCAGGGUAUCUAAUCCUGUUUGCUCCCCACGCUUUCGAGCCUCAGCGUCAGUUACAAGCCAGAGAGCCGCUUUCGCCACCGGUGUUCCUCCAUAUAUCUACGCAUUUCACCGCUACACAUGGAAUUCCACUCUCCCCUCUUGCACUCAAGUUAAACAGUUUCCAAAGCCUACUAUGGUUAAGCCACAGCCUUUAACUUCAGACUUAUCUAACCGCCUGCGCUCGCUUUACGCCCAAUAAAUCCGGACAACGCUCGGGACCUACGUAUUACCGC